UACGUAGGGGGCAAGCGUUGUCCGGAAUCAUUGGGCGUAAAGAGCGCGUAGGCGGUCCGGUAAGUCCGCUCUGAAAGUCCGGGGGCUCAACCCCGGGAGGCGGGCGGAUACUGCCGGGCUAGAGUCCGGAAGAGGCGAGUGGAAAUUCCUGGUGUAGCGGGUGAAAUGCGCAGAUAUCAGGAGGAACACCGAUGGCGAAGGCGCUC
rnacentral:rRNA from 1 species